rnacentral:lncRNA from 1 species
GAGAAAGACAUGAUGAAAUUGGGUUCCAAAUGGGCUAAGACCUCAGAAACAUUGUGUUAAACAACUAAAUGACUUAUCUAGUGUUUUUUGGGGAUAUAAUAUGUUAGAAUACAAUAAAUUUAAUUGAUUACAAGUUCUAGAGAUGCAUGAAGAGUGUUUAGAAGUGUGGAGAAAGACUUGUUGAAAUUGGGUCCCAAAUAGGCUAAGAAUUCGGAAACAUUGCGUUGAACCAUUAAAUGACUUAUCUAGUGUUGUUUGGGGUUAGAAUAUGAUAGAAUACAAUAAAUUUG